GAUGAACGCUGGCGGCGUGCCUAAUACAUGCAAGUCGAGCGAACAGACGAGGAGCUUGCUCCUCUGACGUUAGCGGCGGACGGGUGAGUAACACGUGGAUAACCUACCUAUAAGACUGGGAUAACUUCGGGAAACCGGCGCUAAUACCGGAUAACAUGUUGAACCGCAUGGUUCAACAGUGAAAGACGGUCUUGCUGUCACUUAUAGAUGGAUCCGCGCCGCAUUAGCUAGUUGGUAAGGUAACGGCUUACCAAGGCAACGUAGCGUGGCCGACCUGGGAGGGGGAUCGGCACCACGGGAACUGGAACACGGUCCGGAUUCCUACGGAAGGCAGCAGUAGGGAAUCUUCCGCAAUGGGCGAAAUCCGGACGGAGCAACGCCGCGGGGGGGAAGAAGGUCUUCGGAUCGUAAAACUCUGUUAUUAGGGAAGAACAAAUGUGUAAGUAACUAUGCACGUCUUGGCGGUACCUAAUCAGAAAGCCACGGCUAACUACGUG
rnacentral:rRNA from 1 species